rnacentral:rRNA from 1 species
UCUCGCGUCGACGGAUGAACGCUAGCGGCAGGCCUAAUACAUGCAAGUCGAGGGGUAUGGGUUGCUUGCAACCCAGAGACCGGCGCACGGGUGCGUAACGCGUAUGCAAUCUACCUUAAUCAGGGGGAUAGCCCGGAGAAAUCCGGAUUAACACCGCAUAACAUUGAGAUGUGGCAUCACAAUUCAAUCAAAUAUUUAUAGGAUUAAGAUGAGCAUGCGUGACAUUAGUUAGUUGGUGAGGUAACGGCUCACCAAGACCACGAUGUCUAGGGGAUCUGAGAGGAUGACCCCCCACACUGGUACUGAGACACGGACCAGACUCCUACGGGAGGCAGCAGUAAGGAAUAUUGGUCAAUGGGCGCAAGCCUGAACCAGCCAUGCCGCGUGCAGGAAGACGGCCCUAUGGGUUGUAAACUGCUUUUGUACCGGAAUAAACCUUCUCUUGCGAGAGAAGCUGAACGUACGGUAAGAAUAAGGAUCGGCUAACUCCGUG